UACGUAGGGUGCAAGCGUUAAUCGGAAUUACUGGGCGUAAAGCGUGCGCAGGCGGUUUUGUAAGUCUGUCGUGAAAUCCCCGGGCUCAACCUGGGAAUUGCGAUGGAGACUGCAAGGCUAGAAUCUGGCAGAGGGGGGUAGAAUUCCACGUGUAGCAGUGAAAUGCGUAGAGAUGUGGAGGAACACCGAUGGCGAAGGCAGCCCCCUGGGCCAGCACUGACGCUCAUGCACGAAAGCGUGGGGAGCAAACAGG
rnacentral:rRNA from 1 species